rnacentral:rRNA from 1 species
UACGGGGGGGGCAAGCGUUGUUCGGAAUUACUGGGCGUAAAGGGCUCGUAGGUGGCCAACUAAGUCAUACGUGAAAUCCCUCAGCUUAACUGGGGAACUGCGUCUGAUACUGGAUGGCUUGAGUUUGGGAGAGGGAUGCGGAAUUCCAGGUGUAGCGGUGAAAUGCGUAGAUAUCUGGAGGAACACCGGUGGCGAAGGCGGCGUCCUGGACCAACACUGACACUGAGGAGCGAAAGCCAGGGGAGCAAACGGG